rnacentral:rRNA from 1 species
GGUUCCACACGUACCCAUCCCGAACACGACCGUUAAGCCCUCUAGCGCCGAUGGUACUUGGACCGCAGGGUCCUGGGAGAGUAGGAAGCCGCC